GGGAGUAGAUAGGUUCUGGUGUGCCUGCCAGUCUUCAAAACUGUGUUGGGGUGUUAAUAGCAUCCUGGGUGGGUUCGAUUCCCACAUAUUCCC
rnacentral:tRNA from 1 species